AAGCUAAUGGCCUCUCUUCACAAUGAGACAUUCGUUGCUAAGGAAGGGCAGCCAGGUGGAGAGCUGAAAGCUGCACCUGGGCCGAUAGCUGGGUAGCAUUGCUGAGCCACUAGUGUUUAAAGGUACCUUCUCAAUGGCCCAGAGACACAGCUGCCUACGACGCCACCCCUGGUCGUCCUUUCCUGAUAGCAAUUACCCUUUUUGCACCUAAAGUAGACCCAGGAGUUCUUCUGAGAGCCGCCACUGGCAGGAAGUGACCGAGCUGUGAGCCACCAGCUUCACUGUGUGACGCGCUUUGUGACAAGCUGCCAGGGCCAGGAGCUGUAGCAGCUGCGCUUGAACUUGUGGCUGGCUGCAGUCCCUUGGAAAGGGAAGGGGCACAUCUGGAAGGCGGGUCUGAGUGCCCCAUGAAGCUCAGGAGU
rnacentral:lncRNA from 1 species